UAGUGCGCCUCACCAGGCCAGCUGCAUACUACAGGCUUAGCUUGCAAGCACUAGCCUAUCCUACCACGCAGGCCUACUGUGUGGACAACGUGCGCACAGGGCGCAUGACACCUGGCCUUGUCCGUGUGUGAUGUGACACGUGCAUGGAUGGGAUGUGCGAACAGUGCACUCAUCCUACUCUAGUCGCGUGCACAUGAUCGCACACAACAUGAUACGCCUACGUGGGCAAGCCUCUCCCAUGGGUUUUUUCUCGCGAGAUUUCGCUCCAUUUUCCAUUUUUCUCCUGAAAAUUAUU
rnacentral:lncRNA from 1 species